rnacentral:rRNA from 1 species
UCUUUCUUUGCUGGCGACCGGCGCACGGGUGAGUACCACGUAUCCAACCUGCCCUUUACUCGGGGAUAGCCUUUCGAAAGAAAGAUUAAUACCCGAUAGUAUAAUGAUUCCGCAUGGUUUCAUUAUUAAAGGAUUCCGGUAAAGGAUGGGGAUGCGUUCCAUUAGGUUGUUGGUGAGGUAACGGCUCACCAAGCCUUCGAUGGAUAGGGGUUCUGAGAGGAAGGUCCCCCACAUUGGAACUGAGACACGGUCCAA